AGCGUUGUUCGGAAUUACUGGGCGUAAAGGGCUCGUAGGCGGCCCACUAAGUCAGACGUGAAAUCCCUCGGCUUAACCGGGGAACUGCGUCUGAUACUGGAUGGCUUGAGUUUGGGAGAGGGAUGCGGAAUUCCAGGUGUAGCGGUGGAAUGCGUAGAUAUCUGGAGGAAUACCGGUGGCGAAGGCGGCAUCCUGGACCGGCAUUGACGCUGAUGAGCGAAAGCUAGGGGAGCAAACGGG
rnacentral:rRNA from 1 species